rnacentral:rRNA from 1 species
GUACGUAGGGUGCGAGCGUUGUCCGGAAUCACUGGGCGUAAAGGGCGCGUAGGCGGGAUGGCAAGUCAGUCGUGAAAUCUCUCGGCUCAACCGAGAAACGUCGGCUGAUACUGCCGUUCUUGAGGGAUGCAGAGGAGACUGGAAUUCCCGGUGUAGCGGUGAAAUGUGUAGAGAUCGGAGGAACACCGGUGGCGAAGGCGGGUCUCUGGGCAUUUCCUGACGCUGAGGCGCGAAAGCGUGGGGAGCAAACGGG